rnacentral:rRNA from 1 species
GUGAGGAAUAUUGCGCAAUGGAGGCAACUCUGACGCAGCCAUGCCGCGUGCAGGAAGAAGGCGCUACGCGUUGUAAACUGCUUUUAACCGGGAAGAAACCCCAGGACGUGUCCUGGGUUGACGGUACCGGAGGAAUAAGCACCGGCUAACUUCGUGCCAGCAGCCGCGGUAAUACGAAGGGUGCAAGCGUUAUCCGGAUUCAUUGGGUUUAAAGGGUGCGUAGGCGGAGCGUUAAGUCAGUGGUGAAAUCCUGCAGCUUAACUGUAGACUUGCCAUUGAUACUGGCGCUCUUGAGUGCGCUUGAAGUGGGCGGAAUGUGCCGUGUAGCGGUGAAAUGCUUAGAUAUGGCACAGAACACCAAUUGCGAAGGCAGCUCACUAAGGCGAUACUGACGCUGAGGCACGAAAGCGUGGUGAUCGAACAGGAUUAGAUACCCCUGUAGUCC